UACGUAGGGGGCUAGCGUUGUCCGGAAUCAUUGGGCGUAAAGAGCGUGUAGGCGGCCCGGUAAGUCCGCUGUGAAAGUCGGGGGCUCAACCCUCGAAUGCCGGUGGAUACUGUCGGGCUAGAGCGCGGAAGAGGCGAGUGGAAUUCCUGGUGUAGCGGUGAAAUGCGCAGAUAUCAGGAGGAACACCAAUUGCGAAGGCAGCUCGCUGGGACGUAACUGACGCUGAGACGCGAAAGCGUGGGGGAGCAAACAGG
rnacentral:rRNA from 1 species